CAGUUUAACAGCUCUUUUAGAAUUUGUCUAACAGGUUUUCCAGCCCUCACUGGAAAACACCCCU
rnacentral:snRNA from 1 species